CUGUAUUCUCUAAAUACAGCGAUUCUCGAGGUAACACAGGCUGUAUUCUCUAAAUACAGCGAUUCUCGAGGUAACACAGGCUGUAUUCUCUAAAUACAGCGAUUCUCGAGGUAACACAGGCUGUAUUCUCUAAAUACAGCGAUUCUCGAGGUAACACAGGCUGUAUUCUCUAAAUACAGCGAUUCUCGAGGUAACACAGGCUGUAUUCUCUAAAUACAGCGAUUCUCGAGGUAACACAGGCUGUAUUCUCUAAAUACAGCGAUUCUCGAGGUAGCAC